UGGGGAAUUUUGGACAAUGGGCGAAAGCCUGAUCCAGCAAUGCCGCGUGUGUGAAGAAGGCCUUCGGGUUGUAAAGCACUUUUGUCCGGAAAGAAAUCCUUGGCUCUAAUACAGUCGGGGGAUGACGGUACCGGAAGAAUAAGCACCGGCUAACUACGUGCCAGCAGCCGCGGUAAUACGUAGGGUGCAAGCGUUAAUCGGAAUUACUGGGCGUAAAGCGUGCGCAGGCGGUUUGCUAAGACCGAUGUGAAAUCCCCGGGCUCAACCUGGGAACUGCAUUGGUGACUGGCAGGCUAGAGUAUGGCAGAGGGGGGUAGAAUUCCACGUGUAGCAGUGAAAUGCGUAGAGAUGUGGAGGAAUACCGAUGGCGAAGGCAGCCCCCUGGGCCAAUACUGACGCUCAUGCACGAAAGCGUGGGGGAGCAAACAGGAUUAGAUACCCCUGGUAGUCCACGCCCCUAAAACGAUGUCAACUAGUUGUUGGGGAUUCAUUUCCUUAGUAACGUAGCUAACGCGUGAAGUUGACCGCCUGGGGAGUACGGUCGCAAGAUUAAAACUCAAAGGAAUUGACGGGGUCAUAGCUGUUUCCU
rnacentral:rRNA from 1 species